CUAGAUGCUGACGAGUGGCGGACGGGUGAGUAACGCGUGGGAAUCUGCCUUCUAGUGGGGGAUAGCCCGGAGAAAUCCGGAUUAAUACCGCAUACGCCUACGGGGAAGGCCGGGGAGUCUUCGGACCUGGCGCUAGUAGAUGAGCCCGCGUGAGAUUAGCUUGUUGGUGGGGUAAUGGCCUACCAAGGCAACGAUCUCUAGCUGGUCUGAGAGGACGAUCAGCCACACUGGGACUGAGACACGGCCCAGACUCCUACGGGAGGCAGCAGUGGGGGAAUAUUGGACAAUGGGCGAAAGCCUGAUCCAGCAAUGCCGCGUGUGUGAAGAAGGCCUGAGGGUUGUAAAGCACUUUCAAUCGUGAAGAAAAGUUGCAGGCUAAUACCCUGUGACCUUGACGUUAACGAUACAAGAAGCACCGGCUAACUCCGUG
rnacentral:rRNA from 1 species